AUUGAACGCUGGCGGUAGGCCUAACACAUGCAAGUCGAACGGCAGCACAGUAAGAGCUUGCUCUUACGGGUGGCGAGUGGCGGACGGGUGAGGAAUACAUCGGAAGCUACUUUUUCGUGGGGGAUAACGGAGGGAAACUUACGCUAAUACCGCAUACGACCUACGGGUGAAAGCAGGGGAUCUUCGGACCUUGCGCGAUUGAAUGAGCCGAUGUCGGAUUAGCUAGUUGGCGGGGUAAAGGCCCACCAAGGCGACGAUCCGUAGCUGGUCUGAGAGGAUGAUCAGCCACACUGGAACUGAGACACGGUCCAGACUCCUACGGGAGGCAGCAGUGGGGAAUAUUGGACAAUGGGCGCAAGCCUGAUCCAGCCAUACCGCGUGCGUGAAGAAGGCCUUCGGGUUGUAAAGCCCUUUUGUUGGGAAAGAAAAGCAGCAGGUUAAUACCCUGCUGUUCUGACGGUACCCAAAGAAUAAGCACCGGCUAACUUCGUG
rnacentral:rRNA from 1 species